UGGCUCUUCUCUGGAGAAAUGUUCAAAGGCCCCUUGUUUAAUCGGCCCUUUCCUCUUCAUGGUGGAGUUGUGGGAGUUCUGGGCAUAUUCUGGGCCACCAGGCCCUCGGGUUCCAAGAUGCAGCUACUGGAGACAGAGUUCUCGCACACCGUGGGCGAGCUCAUCGAGGUGCACCUGCGGCGCCAGGACAGCAUCCCUGCCUUCCUCAGCUCGCUCACCCUCGAGCUCUUCAGCCUCCAGACCGUGGCGUAGCCUGCGCCUCGGGGGCAUAGCCAGAGCCACUCUACUUGGCCUGACCUGCAGGUCCCUUGCCCCGCCAGCCACAGGCUGGGUGCACGUCCUGCCUCUCCAGCUCCACAGGGCAGCGGCAUGACUGACAGACACGCUGGGACCUACGUCGGGCUUCCUGCUGGGGCGGCCAGCACCCUCCCCACGUGCAGACCCCAUGCGUCCCGGAGCCUGGUGUGUGGGCGUCGGCCACCAGCCCGGGCUCCUCACCUUGUGAAAUAAAAUCUUCUCCCCUAGACACUCCCACUCGCCCUGUGUAUCUGUGGCCUAGCCCUAGCAGGGUAGGCGGGAGGAGGGGAAGGAGCUCCCUCAGCAGCCGCCGCCAUCUGCAGACCGGACAACGUUAGGGUGAGUCAGGCAUUUCCGCUCAGGGAGUGCACAGGUGGCAGCUGGGACCAAGGGUGGCUGGGGUGCCCCCCCACCACCAUGGGCUGAGGCCCCUCCGCGUAGCAGCUUCCAGCUCUGCCUCAAGGCCGGGCCCCAGCUCUGGGGCUUCCCUUUGCUGAUGGAACCCGGAUGGAGGCACAGGGGCUGGGGGGACUGUCCUCACAGAUAAGGGUGCAUCGAGGAGAGACUGCCCUCUGUGCCCAUCUCUCCAGGGCCAUAGAAAUACAUUCCAUAGACC
rnacentral:lncRNA from 10 species